GACGAACGCUGGCGGCGUGCCUAAUACAUGCAAGUUGAGCGAUGAAGAUUGGUGCUUGCACCAAUUUGAAGAGCAGCGAACGGGUGAGUAACGCGUGGGGAAUCUGCCUUUGAGCGGGGGACAACAUUUGGAAACGAAUGCUAAUACCGCAUAACAACUUUAAACAUAAGUUUUAAGUUUGAAAGAUGCAAUUGCAUCACUCAAAGAUGAUCCCGCGUUGUAUUAGCUAGUUGGUGGGGUAAAGGCUCACCAAGGCGAUGAUACAUAGCCGACCUGAGAGGGUGAUCGGCCACAUUGGGACUGAGACACGGCCCAAACUCCUACGGGAGGCAGCAGUAGGGAAUCUUCGGCAAUGGACGAAAGUCUGACCGAGCAACGCCGCGUGAGUGAAGAAGGUUUUCGGAUCGUAAAACUCUGUUGGUAGAGAAGAACGUUGGUGAGAGUGGAAAGCUCAUCAAGUGACGGUAACUACCCAGAAAGGGACGGCUAACUACGUG
rnacentral:rRNA from 1 species